rnacentral:lncRNA from 1 species
GAUUGGUGUACACACUCCCCGAUUAGCAUCUAGAAAAAAUUUAUAUUACAUUUUGGGGUUUAUCAUGUGUAAAGAAUUUAGAUCUAUUUUAAUCAGCAUAAACAAAUUAAAAUGGUAGAUAUAUUAAUUUUUCUAAUUAAUUAAUCCUGAAAUUACUGUUCACGGAUUACUGUUUAUACAAUAUUGUUCAUGCAAUACUAUUUAGAGUCACUAUUCAUACGAGUUACUGUGUAGGUUGUCAAAAAAAGUAGAAUUUAUAUAUAAUUUAUAAAAUUUUCAUUUUUGUGAUGCCCAUAAUUUUGAAUGAAUCUUAUUGUUUGCAUAGUAUUGUGCGUUCACUGGAUUUCACUUGAUUUAUUCUAAAUUUUCAGGAACAAAUUAAUAUAAUGGCUUCCACGAGCUGCCAAGAUGUCUCUCAUAGGAAAUACGAUGCCUUCUUAAGCUUUAGAGGAGAAGACACCCGUCAAACGUUCAUAAGUCAUCUCUAUACUGCUUUGAACGAUAAAGGAAUUUAUGUAUUCAGGGAUGACAAACAACUUGAGAAAGGAGGAUCCAUUUCACCAAAUCUCCUUAAAGCAAUUGAAGAAUCAAGAAUUUCAAUUAUUGUUCUCUCAAGAAACUAUGCUUCUUCCACUUGGUGCUUGGAUGAAAGCAAUUGAAGAAUCAAGAAUUUCAAUUAAUGUUCUCUUAAGAAACUAUGCUUCUUCCACUUGGUGCUUGAAUGAACUUGUCAAGAUUGUUGAAUACAAAAAUAGAGAGGAUCAGAUUUUUCCAAUUUUCUAUGAUGUGGAACCAACUGUUGUAAGGAAACAGACAAGAAGUUUUGGAGAAGCUUUUACGAAACACGAAGAAUUUUUCAGGGAUAAUAUAGAAAAAGUACAAAAGUGGAGACACGCUUUAAAAGUGGUGGCCAAUAUAUCAGGUUGGGAAUUAAAGGAUAG